rnacentral:rRNA from 1 species
GACGAACGCUGGCGGCGUGCUUAACACAUGCCAGUCGAACGGAAAGGCCCUGCUUUUGUGGGGUGCUCGAGUGGCGAACGGGUGAGUAACACGUGAGUAACCUGCCCUUGACUUUGGGAUAACUUCAGGAAACUGGGGCUAAUACCGGAUAGGAGCUCCUGCUGCAUGGUGGGGGUUGGAAAGUUUCGGCGGUUGGGGAUGGACUCGCGGUUUAUCAGCUUGUUGGUGGGGUAGUGGCUUACCAAGGCUUUGACGGGUAGCCGGCCUGAGAGGGUGACCGGCCACAUUGGGACUGAGAUACGGCCCAGACUCCUACGGGAGGCAGCAGUGGGGAAUAUUGCACAAUGGGCGGAAGCCUGAUGCAGCAACGCCGCGUGCGGGAUGACGGCCUUCGGGUUGUAAACCGCUUUCGCCUGUGACGAAGCGUGAGUGACGGUAAUGGGUAAAGAAGCACCGGCUAACUACGUG